rfam:Glycine soja cultivar W05 scaffold2723_14, whole genome shotgun sequence.
GAUAGCAAAUGAUGUUAAAAUUUCUUAUCUUUACACACCGAGUUCUGUGAAGACUAAAAACUCCACUUAUUGUCUGAUGCCCUU